rnacentral:rRNA from 1 species
GACGAACGCUGGCGGCGUGCUUAACACAUGCAAGUCGAGCGGUAAGGCCCUUUCGGGGUACGACGAGCGGCGAACGGGUGAGUAACACGUGGGUGACCUGCCCUCAGCUCUGGGAUAAGCCUGGGAAACCGGGUCUAAUACUGGAUAUGACUCCAUGACGCAUGUUGGUGGGGUGGAAAGCCUUGUGCGGCUGAGGAUGGGCCCGCGGCCUAUCAGCUUGUUGGUGGGGUGAGGCCUACCAAGGCGACGACGGGUAGCCGGCCUGAGAGGGCGACCGGCCACACUGGGACUGAGACACGGCCCAGACUCCUACGGGAGGCAGCAGGUGGGGAAUCUUGCGCAAUGGGCGAAAGCCUGACGCAGCGACGCGCGUGA